rnacentral:lncRNA from 1 species
UGCAGCUCAUCUCCUAGACAACAACAGAGUGAUGCAACAAACAGAAGGGACCUGCCAACUCAUAGCUGAACCACCAGGGCAGGACCGUUGGUGCCAGCCCAGGAUGUGAUGGUGGUUGAGGGGUGGCUGACGUCCAUCAGGGCUCCAGCCCAGAACAUCCACUCUACAUAGUUACCACCAUGUGCCCCGAAGGACCAGAGGAAUCCACCUCCCAGUCCUGGCAGGGUGACCAGGAGCAGGAAACCUUGCAGGCAGCUGGAAGAGCAUGACCCGCAAUCCAGAGAGAAAGAGGCAGAGACACAGGCAGAGGGAGAAGCAGGCUCCAUGCGGGGAGCCCGACGUGGGACUCGAUACUGGGACUCCAGGAUCAUGCCCUGGGCCAAAGGACUUAACGGCUGUUGCUUUCAGAACAGACUGAAGAGAGCCAGAGUGCAGGCGGGAAACUGUUACAAUAACCCAGGCCUAGGGAUGUGCUCGGAUGCAGCUGAACCGUGCAGAUAAGGACAAUGCUGGGAAAGGAAGCUGGUUCCCUGAGCGAGGGUGUGGAGCAAAGCCUGACAUAUUCCAGUUACCACUCACCUCAGGACAGCUUCACGAAUAAGAAAUAAACUUCUGUCUUCUUUAAUCCA